UACAGAGGGUGCAAGCGUUAAUCGGAUUUACUGGGCGUAAAGGGUGUGUAGGUGGUUCGUUAAGUUCGAUGUGAAAGCCCCGGGCUCAACCUGGGAAUGGCAUUGGAAACUGGCGGACUCGAGUGUGGCAGAGGGGGGUGGAAUUCCGCGUGUAGCAGUGAAAUGCGUAGAGAUGCGGAGGAACACCGAUGGCGAAGGCAGCCCCCUGGGCUAACACUGACGCUCAGGCACGAAAGCGUGGGGAGCAAACAGG
rnacentral:rRNA from 1 species